UGGACUAGAAGACCUCUAAGGUCUAAGAGGAGGAAUAAAAAAACCCGCAAAUAUGAUAUUAUCACGACUCCAGCAGAACGGGUGGAAAUGGCUCCCUUAAAUGAAGAGGAUGAUGAAGAUGAAGAUGCCACAGUGUUUGAUAUAAAAUAUAGGUGAGGUCGUUGACCAAACUUCUCGGGAACUUUGUCUCGUGUAGAAAAUGAGGCAAGAACUUUGGAACAAAGGAAAGAUGGCAAAUAAUCUUCUUUGGAUCCAUAACAUUUUGACCGUUUAAACAGAAAAGAGUGGAUGUCGGAUUUGACAUUUGGCCCAUUCCUAAUAAAUACAGCUGUUACGUUCCUGGAUGAAUGACAUGAUGAAUUGAAGAACCUCUUCUUCCUGAACUUCUUUCUCCUUCUAAAGACAAUCCUUCUGAUUCACCGUAGCUUCAGAUGCCACCAGCAAAUUAGAGAACUGAGGUCAGCCACCAGCGUUCAACAAUUCAGAAGCUGCCGAGACAUUCUUUGCUCAAAAUAUUAAAGGAGACAGAUGGAUUCUGAUUGCAUUCUGGGAUUGGUUCUGAGUUGGCUAAAAUGUUUGCUCUUCUUGUGUGCAACUGGAAUCUUGUAUUGGGUUGUGCUGAAAUUGUUCAGCACAGUUGUGUGCCUAUUUGUGUUGGAGGGGGGGAGAAUUUUGAUGGUUAACCCUUUCAGUAGACAGCUCUCAGGCCUCAGUAUUAACGAAGACCAGUGCGCUGCUGUAUUAAUUUACAGUAAGUUUUUACAGGGAGUUUCUCGCAAACUUUAUAUUCCCCCCCCCCCCAGAAGGUGAAUUCUGAUAGCAGGAAAAAACAAAACACAGUACUCAAUUUAGGAAGAAAGGGAUUAAAUCCCCUGUACCUCCUACCCUCGGGAGAACUGAUUUUUUUACAUAUGCGUUAUUUUGCUUUCUAUAGCCUCUCAUCAUUUAUUCAUUUCAAGGCAAUUAGCAAUCGGAUUACUGAUUCAGAAGAAGAGGUUUUGCCUUCGUGCCAGAGUAGUCCCAUCUGUUCUCCCCAGCAGAAACUUCCCCAACCUGUUUUCUCUCAAGAAAUGUUGGGAUUUUUGGGUUUUUUUACUGACUGGCAAUUAAGAAAGCUGAACCUCUGCAAAUCGAGUGUCUUCAGCUCCAAUCAUUUCAUCUUGGUUUGAACCUUUCAUAGCGGUGAACGUUUUUUUCCUUUUAAUUAUACCUAACAAAUAAAUAUAAGGCAAAGUAGAUGGUGGUUUUUUUCCUUCUUUCUCCAGGACAGUCAAAUGCUCCUUUAGCACUGCCGAUGAAAUGGCCCAUUUAACCUUACAACAUAUGACCAUAGAGCUGGAAGAGACCUUUGAGGUCUUCUAGUCCAACCCCCUGCUCAAGCAGGAGA